UACGGAGGGAGCUAGCGUUAUUCGGAAUACUGGGCGUAAAGCGCACGUAGGCGGCUUUGUAAGUAAGAGGUGAAAGCCCGGGGCUCAACUCCGGAAUUGCCUUUAAAAACUGCAUCGCUAGAAUUGUGGAGAGGUAAGUGGAAUUCCGAGUGUAGAGGUGAAAUUCGUAGAUAUUCGGAAGAACACCAGUGGCGAAGGCGGACUUACUGGACACAUAUUGACGCUGAGGUGCGAAAGCGUGGGGAGCAAACAGG
rnacentral:rRNA from 1 species